UGCCAGCCGCCGCGGUAAUACAGAGGUCCCGAGCGUUGUUCGGAUUCACUGGGCGUAAAGAGUGCGUAGGUGGUUAGGUAAGUUUGAUGUGAAAGCUCCGAGCUCAACUCGGAAAUUGCAUUGAAAACUGCUUGACUAGAGGGUCGGAAGGGAGACUGGAAUUUUCGGUGUAGCAGUGAAAUGCGUAGAUAUCGAGAGGAACACCAGUGGCGAAGGCGACUUCCUGGGCCAAUACUGACGCUGAGGUGCGAAAGCGUGGGGAGCAAACAGGAUUAGAUA
rnacentral:rRNA from 1 species